rnacentral:rRNA from 1 species
CAAGUAAGUAAGGGCACAUGGUGGAUGCCUGGGCAUCAGGAGCCGAUGAAGGACGUGGGAGGCCGCGAUAGGCCUCGGGGAGCUGUCAACCAAGCUGUGAUCCGAGGAUUUCCGAAUGGGGAAACCCGGCCAGAGUCAUGUCUGGUCACCCGCACCUGAAUAUAUAGGGUGUGUGGAGGGAACGCGGGGAAGUGAAACAUCUCAGUACCCGUAGGAAGAGAAAACAACCGUGAUUCCGUGAGUAGUGGCGAGCGAAAGCGGAUGAGGCUAAACCGUGUACGUGUGAUACCUGGCAGGGGUUGCGUAUGCGGGGUUGUGGGACCCACCGGUCGAGGCUGCCAUCUCGGCGAGGAGUCAGAAAACAUGGUGUUAGCGGAAGACGUCUGGAAAGCGUCAGCGUAGAGGGUGAUACUCCCGUACGUGAAAGCACUGUGUCUCCUGGAGGGGAUCCCAAGUAGCAGCGAGCUCGUGGAAUUUGCUGUGAAUCUGGCGGGACCACCCGCUAAGCCUAAAUACUCCCUGAUGACCGAUAGCGGACUAGUACCGUGAGGGAAAGGUGAAAAGUACCCCGGGAGGGGAGUGAAAUAGUACCUGAAACCAUGUGCCUACAAUCCGUCAGAGCCUCCGUUGUGGGGUGAUGGCGUGCCUUUUGAAGAAUGAGCCUGCGAGUUAGUGAUACGUGGCGAGGUUAACCCGGGUGGGGUAGCCGUAGCGAAAGCGAGUCUGAACAGGGCGUCAGAGUCGCGUGUCCUAGACCCGAAGCGGAGUGAUCUACCCAUGGCCAGGGUGAAGCGCGGGUAAGACCGCGUGGAGGCCCGAACCCACCAGGGUUGAAAACCUGGGGGAUGAGCUGUGGGUAGGGGUGAAAGGCCAAUCAAACUCCGUGAUAGCUGGUUCUCCCCGAAAUGCAUUUAGGUGCAGCGUCGUGUGUUUCUCAUCCGAGGUAGAGCACUGGAUGGCCGAUGGGCCCGACAAGGUUACUGACGUCAGCCAAACUCCGAAUGCGGGUGUGUGAGAGCGCGGCAGUGAGACUGCGGGGGAUAAGCUUCGUAGUCGAGAGGGAAACAGCCCAGAACGCCGGCUAAGGCCCCUAAGUGUGCGCUAAGUGGAAAAGGAUGUGGGGUCGCCCAGACAACCAGGAGGUUGGCUUAGAAGCAGCCAUCCUUGAAAGAGUGCGUAAUAGCUCACUGGUCAAGUGGUCCUGCGCCGAUAAUGUAGCGGGGCUUAAGCGCACCGCCGAAGCCGUGUCAUUCACAUGUAGAGCUCCAUCUGUCCCUUUUGGGGGGUGGGUGUAGGUGUGUGGAUGGGUAGGGGAGCGUCCUGCACUGGGUGAAGCAGUCGCGUGAGCGGGUGUGGACGGUGUGGGAGUGAGAAUGCAGGCAUGAGUAGCGAAAGCAGAGUGAGAAACUCUGCCGCCGGAUGACCAAGGGUUCCUGGGCCAGGUUAUUCCCGCCCAGGGUAAGUCGGGACCUAAGGCGAGGCCGACAGGCGUA